rnacentral:rRNA from 1 species
CAAUAGCGUAUAUUAAAGUUGUUGCAGUUAAAAAGCUCGUAGUUGGAUUUGUGGCUGUCACGGGCGGCCUAUCACUUAGUGUUAGUGCUUGCCUGUGUCGCCAUCCUUGGGUGGAGCCCGUGUGGCAUUAGGUUGUCGUGCGGGGGAUGCCCAUCGUUUACUGUGAGAAAAUUAGAGUGUUCAAAGCAGGCUUAUGCCGUUGAAUAUGUUAGCAUGGAAUAAUAAGAUAGGACCUCGGUACUAUUUUGUUGGUUUGCGCACCGAGGUAAUGAUUAAUAGGGACAGUUGGGGGUAUUCGUAUUUCAUUGUCAGAGGUGAAAUUCUUGGAUUUCUGAAAGACGAACUACUGCGAAAGCAUUUACCAAGGAUGUUUCCAUUAA